rnacentral:rRNA from 1 species
UACAGAGGGUGCGAGCGUUAAUCGGAAUUACUGGGCGUAAAGCGUGCGCAGGCGGUGAUGUAAGACAGGUGUGAAAUCCCAGGGCUUAACCUUGGAAUUGCACUUGUGACUGUGCGGCUGGAGUGCGGCAGAGGGGGAUGGAAUUCCGCGUGUAGCAGUGAAAUGCGUAGAUAUGCGGAGGAACACCGAUGGCGAAGGCAGUCCCCUGGGCCUGCACUGACGCUCAUGCACGAAAGCGUCGGGGAGCAAACAGG